rnacentral:rRNA from 1 species
AGUGAACGCUGGCGGUAGGCCUAACACAUGCAAGUCGAACGGCAGCACAGUAAGAGCUUGCUCUUACGGGUGGCGAGUGGCGGACGGGUGAGGAAUACAUCGGAAUCUACUUUUUCGUGGGGGAUAACGUAGGGAAACUUACGCUAAUACCGCAUACGACCUACGGGUGAAAGCAGGGGAUCUUCGGACCUUGCGCGAUUGAAUGAGCCGAUGUCGGAUUAGCUAGUUGGCGGGGUAAAGGCCCACCAAGGCGACGAUCCGUAGCUGGUCUGAGAGGAUGAUCAGCCACACUGCAACUGAGACACGGUCCAGACUCCUACGGGAGGCAGCAGUGGGGAAUAUUGGACAAUUGGCGCAAGCCUGAUCCAGCCAUACCGCGUGGGUGAAGAAGGCCUUCGGGUUGUAAAGCCCUUUUGUUGGGAAAGAAAAGCAGCAGGUUAAUACCCCGCUGUUCUGACGGUACCCAAAGAAUAAGCACCGGCUAACUUCGUG